GUCAGGAUGGCCGAGUGGUCUAAGGCGCUGCGUUCAGGUCACAGUCCACCCUGGAGGUGUGGGUUCGAAUCCCACUCCUGACA